GGCAGUGGAUGGAAUUUCAAUCCUGAGGCCUAGAACAAGGAGAUGUUCAUGAGUUGGCUCCAGGCAUUUGAAAUAACAUAAGGAUUGGAAUGAAGUCAGUCUGAAGGCAGCAAGAAUAGACGAGAGGAGGGAUCUUAUAUAUUUCAUCUACAGUACUUCUAUGUUAAAAGAGAUAAAUGGAAGAUGAAAAAUAUGGUUACAUGAGAACAUAUUAGUCCUGUUACUGUAUAUCUUCCACAAGGCAACUAGUUGUCUGUAGUAUUUAGUUUUACAACACCAGGACAAGGCACAGCCCGGUCAUGGUACUCGAACACAUACUGUCAACUCUUGUGUGACUGCAGCAUUAAGGUGUUAAAAUUUAAACCUUUCCCCCUUAAGAUGUUACAGGUGACAUAAGUUUCAUCUAAUCAAAUCUUAAAAGAAACGGCUUUGGCUAAAGAUGCUGCCUGUAUCUUGUAACUCAAGAAUUCAGCCCAUGUUUUAAUGUCAGAGGAAUAGAAGAUUAAUG